CUGAUUCAAAAUUGUACGUUAUCAUAGCAUUAACAAAACUAUUCUUUAAUUUCCAUUUAUUUUGGCAUUAAAAAGAACAUUCUAGUAAUCCAACAUACCCAAUGGAUUCUUUUCACUCCGGUCUCUCUUUUCACCCUCUUUUUAUGUUGUCGCUUGUUACAAAGCUAUUCCAGAACCAACAGCCUGGUAUUUGGUUGGAUGAUUUGAUGAUUGGAUCGACGAUUACAAUUCCUAUUCGAUGUGAUUGUCUCACCAGGAACCAAAACCGAUGUAGGAGUUAACUAUCUGUUGAGCUAUCCGAUUGUGUCGGGUAUUAGUGAAAUUUUUGGUGUUGACAUCGGGAUCCACUAUCGAAAAUCACCGUGCCACCUCCACCGCCACCACCAUGGCCGCCCUCGCUUACA
rnacentral:lncRNA from 1 species